UACAGAGGUCUCAACCGUUGUUCGGAUUCAUUGGGCGUAAAGGGCGCGUAGGCGGCCACCGCAAGUCGACUGUGAAAUCUCCGGGCUUAACCCGGAAAGGUCAGCCGAUACUGCGGGGCUAGAGUGCAGAAGGGGCAACUGGAAUUCUCGGUGUAGCGGUGAAAUGCGUAGAUAUCGAGAGGAACACCUGCGGCGAAGGCGGGUUGCUGGGCUGACACUGACGCUGAGGCGCGAAAGCUAGGGGAGCGAACGGG
rnacentral:rRNA from 1 species